rnacentral:lncRNA from 1 species
AUGAAACAAGGCUGUCAUUCAGAAGCUCAUCACAGAGCAGUGAAUACAUUCCUUGUGGGAGCUCAGCAUCAGAAGAAGUUGCAAGCCCCUUCUCAGGAGGAAAGACGAGCACAAGCUGAAACACCCAAGCUGCAAUCAGUGGCAGAACACAACUCCAGGAAGGAUCAUGCCUCAUCAGCGGGUGUUGGCUUUCUAAGGCACCUCAAGUACCCUGCCAGGGAAGGGGCCACAAGGGGUGUGGGUGCCCCUUGCACCUUUGCAGUGCCAGCCAAGAACAGUCCACAGGACUCCUGA